rnacentral:tRNA from 1 species
AGGGGUGUAGCCAAGCGGUAAGGCAAGGGACUUUGACUCCCUGAUUCGUAGGUUCGAACCCUGCCACCCCUGCCA